GAUGAGGAGGCAUACAAAGGCCUCUACAUUAUGGACAAGACUUCACCCUCCCUACACCUCUGAUGAAUAUAACAGGGAACCUGUUCAAUCACCACGCACUGCAAAAUCAUUCUGGCUUUGGAUACGGAGAACAUCAACACAUUAACAUCAUCAUGCCAGAGGAUA